CGGUGGGCACCUAGUCAGUGACGGUUCCUGCCUCGCUGUUGACUACACAAGACACUAACGAUGGUCUGUCUGCUGCUGCUGCUAUGUCUCGCCCCUGUGGCGCUGUCCUGGGAGAGAGAGGAUGUUCAUGCCCUGCUUCAGAAGGCCAUGUCCAAGGAUGCUGACGGUGAGCUCGAGGGUUGGCAGAUGGAGAAGUUGCCGGACUUUCUCAAGUGGUACAGCCUCCAGAAACAGAUGGAAGGAGAAGAAGGUGACGACAGGAAGAUGAGCGAAGGUGAAGAUCAGGAAGAGCCGAAGAAACAUGCCAGCCAUGCUGCCCCCUGGGACCGCCCCGGACCCUUCUCCUGGUGGAGACUUCAUCACAAGUACGACGUGAGGCAGUGGCAGGAGGAACAAGCGCGGAAGCAUCAUGAACAGGUGGCCAUGUGGAUGCGAGAGAAGAGGGAGAAGAUGGAGAAGUUCGAGCAGUUCGAGAAGUUCCAGGCCGCCAUGAAGGAACGCAGGGAGAAGGCAGAGAAGAUGAAGAAGUUGCAGGGGAUGCUCAGACUCCAUGCUCAGGCCCACAAAGAGCAGGAGUUCGCCGAAAUGAUGAGGACCUUUACCGAGAAGAAGAAGCAGUACGUCUUCACUAUUGUGUUUGAACUGAUGAAGUUCUGCAAGAGCAGUGAGUCUAUCAUGGACCUUCAACGCUUCUUCAAUCCCGACAGUGUGCGCAACAUGAACGAGGCGAGCAGCAACAACACUGACGUCAUGGACAUCGACGAACACAUGGCCUUCCCACACCCAAGGACACAAGAGGAGGCCAAGAAAAUGUUCAUGAAGGGUCUUGUGAAGACGCUGUGCGUGAGCUCCAAGGAAUACGUGCAUCACGUGAGGAUGUUCGCCGCCCAUCACCUGGCCCAUCACUUCGCCAUGGAGACCGCAGGAGACGCGCAGCCAAUGGGAGACACCAGUCCUGCAUCUGGGAAUUACGGCUUCUAGAUACCGAGACUCACAGAGACACGUAUACGUGAUGCAUAGUGACGUGAAACACGGAGACGUGAAGCACAGAGACGUGAAACACGGAGAUGUGAAGCACAGAGACGUGAAACACGGAAAUGUGAAGCACAGAUCUCGUGUAUUAUCGCCAAACAGUAGACUGCACCUUUCUAAUCACGCUUGACUAUGCACAUCUGCUCAACACUCUUAUUGUAUCGGUUAAUAAAAUGUUAAAAGGGUCAAA
rnacentral:misc_RNA from 1 species